rnacentral:rRNA from 1 species
CAGCAGCCGCGGGAAAACGGAGGGUGCAAGCGUUAAUCGGAAUUACUGGGCGUAAAGCGCACGCAGGCGGUUUGUUAAGUCAGAUGUGAAAUCCCCGAGCUUAACUUGGGAACUGCAUUUGAAACUGGCAAGCUAGAGUCUUGUAGAGGGGGGUAGAAUUCCAGGUGUAGCGGUGAAAUGCGUAGAGAUCUGGAGGAAUACCGGUGGCGAAGGCGGCCCCCUGGACAAAGACUGACGCUCAGGUGCGAAAGCGUGGGGAGCAAACAGGAUUAGAUACCCGAGUAGUCCCUGUCUCUUAUAC